rnacentral:rRNA from 1 species
AGUGAACGCUGGCGGCAGGCCUAACACAUGCAAGUCGAACGGCAGCACAGUAAGAGCUUGCUCUUACGGGUGGCGAGUGGCGGACGGGUGAGGAAUACAUCGGAAUCUACUUUUUCGUGGGGGAUAACGUAGGGAAACUUACGCUAAUACCGCAUACGACCUACGGGUGAAAGCAGGGGAUCUUCGGACCUUGCGCGAUUGAAUGAGCCGAUGUCGGAUUAGCUAGUUGGCGGGGUAAAGGCCCACCAAGGCGACGAUCCGUAGCUGGUCUGAGAGGAUGAUCAGCCACACUGGAACUGAGACACGGUCCAGACUCCUACGGGAGGCAGCAGUGGGGAAUAUUGGACAAUGGGCGCAAGCCUGAUCCAGCCAUACCGCGUGGGUGAAGAAGGCCUUCGGGUUGCAAAGCCCUUUUGUUGGGAAAGAAAAGCAGCAGGUUAAUACCCCGCUGUUCUGACGGUACCCAAAGAAUAAGCACCGGCUAACUUCGUG